UACGUAGGGGGCAAGCGUUGUCCGGAUUUAUUGGGCGUAAAGAGCGUGUAGGCGGUUUGGUAGGUCCGCUGUGAAAACUCGAGGCUCAACCUCGAGACGCCGGUGGAAACCAUCAGACUAGAGUCCGGAAGAGGAGAGUGGAAUUCCCGGUGUAGCGGUGAAAUGCGCAGAUAUCGGGAAGAACACCUAUGGCGAAGGCAGCUCUCUGGGACGGUACUGACGCUGAGACGCGAAAGCGUGGGGAGCGAACAGG
rnacentral:rRNA from 1 species